UAGUAGGAUAAUGUUCCACGGU
rnacentral:misc_RNA from 1 species